rnacentral:lncRNA from 1 species
CCUCCACAUAAUAUUCCAGCCCAUUAUUUUGGGCUUGCUGUUUUUAUUAUUAUUAUUAUUAUUAUUAUUAUUACCCUCUGAUGGGGUUAUACAGAUGUCUCCAAAAGAUAAGAAAAAUAAAUUACAUCAUUCAAAAAUAAAUAAAGCAGUCGUUAGGGACCAAACAUGUUGUCUAGCGUCCUGUCAUCUCUCUGUGGACCCCUUUCCAGCGAGACCGAUGCCAUUGCCUAAAAUUUCAGAAACCCCACUUUACUCCACUGUUGGUCUCUCUAUUUCCGCC